UACGUAGGGUGCGAGCGUUAAUCGGAAUUACUGGGCGUAAAGCGUGCGCAGGCGGUUGUGCAAGACAGAUGUGAAAUCCCCGGGCUUAACCUGGGAACUGCAUUUGUGACUGCACGGCUAGAGUGUGUCAGAGGGGGGGUAGAAUUCCACGUGUAGCAGUGAAAUGCGUAGAUAUGUGGAGGAAUACCGAUGGCGAAGGCAGCCCCCCUGGGAUAACACUGACGCUCAUGCACGAAAGCGUGGGUAGCAAACGGGG
rnacentral:rRNA from 1 species